rnacentral:rRNA from 1 species
UACGGAGGGUGCGAGCGUUAAUCGGAAUUACUGGGCGUAAAGGGUGCGUAGGUGGUUUAAUAAGUUAUCUGUGAAAUUCCUGGGCUUAACCUAGGGUGGUCAGAUGAUACUGUUGAGCUUGAGUAUGGGAGAGGGCAGUGGAAUUUCCGGUGUAGCGGUGAAAUGCGUAGAGAUCGGAAGGAACACCAGUGGCGAAGGCGGCUGCCUGGCCUGAUACUGACACUGAGGCACGAAAGCGUGGGGAGCAAA